GGGAUAAUUGCGAUGGGGGGACGGAGCAGGCUAAGCAAGCAUGGCGAUGGUAGUCCAUGUGAAAGUGUGUAGGCUAGUGACUUAGGUAAAUCCGGGUUACUGUUAGGCUGAGACACGAGACGAGUCACCAAGGUGAUGAAGUUGCUGAUGCCAUACUUCCAGGAAAAGCCUCUAAGCUUCAGAUUAUACCGAAUCGUACCCCAAACCGACACAGGUGGUCAGGUAGAGAAUACUAAGGCGCUUGAGAGAACUCGGGUGAAGGAACUAGGCAAAAUCGUACCGUAACUUCGGGAGAAGGUACGCUCCGAUUGGUGAUGAGACUUGCUCUUUAAGCUGAUUGGAGCCGCAGUGACCAGGUGGCUGGGACUGUUUAUUAAAAACACAUCCCUGUGCUAAAUAGCAAGAUGGAGUAUACGAUGUGACACCUGC
rnacentral:rRNA from 1 species